UGAAACCGAAAACAAAGGACAAUUGAGGCGUGUUGGGUAAUUUUGGAUUAUUGGUGGCACCCUUAGGCGUAGCUUUUGGGUCCUUCAGCAGUAGCCGCGACUCGCAUAGGUGAGAAUCGGAAUUCACCAUACUCUGUUCUGCAAUGGCCAAGAUCGAAGAACUGAACGAGUCCGUGGCCAAAUCAAGGACCAAGAGGAAUCACGGCUCAACCAGAUUCUUCAUCUUUGUUGAUUACCUUUUCAUUUUGAUCUUCCUUGGAUUCCUCUGCUUCAUCUUUUUCAAGAUUCUCGGCAUUUGAUUUGAUUCCCAAUCCACCGUGCGUUCCGAGCUAGGAUAUUCGCGUGACAUAGUUAUGAUUCCAUUACAAACCUAGGUACAAGCUUGAAGGCAGGGUCAACUAGCAAGUACAAUUUUUUUUCUCAGAUCCUAUGUUGUAAUACUUGAAUUUUACAUGUUUCUCCAGUUUUGCUCUCAAAAUUUUACAUUGUUCAUUUUCCCUAGCUAUUGUCUGUCAUUUGUUUCUUGUUUAUUACAUUUAUCUUUUCACGUAUGAUUUCCACUUUCACUUCCUUUUUCCUUGACUUUGGUAAGAAGGAUGACAACACUAAGAUGAAUAUCAAAGUACAUUGCAGAGAUUAAAAGCU